AACGAACGCUGGCGGCGUGCCUAACACAUGCAAGUCGAGCGAGAAAGCCCGCAAGGGUGAGUACAGCGGCGCACGGGUGCGUAACACGUGGGUAAUCUGCCCUGGAGCUCGGAAUAACUCCCCGAAAGGGGUGCUAAUACCGGAUAAGACCACGGAGGCUUCGGCUUCUGAGGGGAAAAGGUGGCCUCUGUACACAAGCUAUCACUUCAGGAUGAGCCCGCGGCCCAUCAGCUAGUUGGCGGGGUAAUGGCCCACCAAGGCUACGACGGGUAGCUGGUCUGAGAGGACGAUCAGCCACACUGGAACUGAGACACGGUCCAGACUCCUACGGGAGGCAGCAGUGGGGAAUCUUGCGCAAUGGGCGAAAGCCUGACGCAGCAACGCCGCGUGUGUGAUGAAGGUCUUCGGAUCGUAAAGCACUGUCGGGAGGGACGAAUAAGGGUGCAGCUAACAUCUGCAU
rnacentral:rRNA from 1 species